AAGAGACACAAACUGUUAUGUAUCAAAUAGAUAAACAACAAGGACAUAUUGAACACCACAGGGAAUGAUAGCAUUAUCUUUGUGAUAACUUUGAAUGGAGUAUAAUCUGUAAAAUACAUAAUCAUUGUGCUGUACACCUAAAACUAAUAUGAUAUUAUAAAUCAACUAUACUUAAGUAAAAAUCUGCUCAAUGGCAAAAAAUUGAAUAACAAAAUUUUUGGUUUCAGAGCUAUUAGAAAAUUUCUUUUGCAGGGUAGUCUCUCUAUAAUAGUUCUAUGUAAAAAAAGACACACACACAUAUGAAUAUAGUUCUCUAUGUGUAUAUAUAAAACAAUAUAAAUUAUAAUACUCUGUAAUGCAAAUAAAAAUAUGACCAGUUUAUUAUGAACUACUCUAAUAGCAAGGAGUGAUCUAAUGAUCUCUACGCUAAAUGUGCUCCCAUAUACUAUUUUGUCAGUAGGUUUGUUAUUGUUACUAUAUACACGACUCUUAUUUUUUAAGUAUUUAUUGAAUGUAACUCAAGGGAUUUUAUUUAUUUUUUUUGAAGACUAAGAGUUUUCGUGCAGGAUCUUUAUACACGUCCAAGGUCAGGAGCGGCGGCCGUGAGGAGAUACCCCAUGUCCAAGAAAAGAAGAUUUUGGCAAUAUUGGGCUGGAACAUCAUGGUGUAUGCAAAUUCUCCUGGCAAGGUUUCAAGCUGCAGACUGCCCAGCCCUCACUUUAUCAUCGUCUAGUCUGUUCAACACAAACAGUGAAGGUGUGACUUUCCGAUUUACAGAUGACCCCAGACUGAGAGACACGAAGAUAAAGACGGAGGGAAGGAGAAUGAGAGUGCACAUGGUAAUGCUGUUGGAAAGCCGAAUGAGGACUAAGAAUUAUCACAACUAUUUUCUGAGUUAAAUAUAAAGGCUUGAGUGGAAGUUUGAAAAGGAAGUGUACAUUAGAAGGAUGUAGGAAAUUUACAUAGAAGAGCAUCACGGUAGAAUGAAUGAGGGGUUUUGUUGGCAGCAAAUUCAAUAAACCAGCAAUAAAACGAGGGGAUCCA
rnacentral:lncRNA from 1 species